CACGGGGGGAGCAAGCGUUGUUCGGAAUCACUGGGCGUAAAGGGCGUGUAGGCGGUCGAGUAAGUGGAAUGUGAAAUGCCCGGGCUUAACCUGGGAACUGCAUUUGUGACUGCAUGGCUAGAGUUUGGCAGAGGGGGGUAGAAUUCCACGUGUAGCAGUGAAAUGCGUAGAUAUGUGGAGGAACACCGAUGGCGAAGGCAGCCCCCUGGGUCAAGACUGACGCUCAUGCACGAAAGCGUGGGGAGCAAACAGG
rnacentral:rRNA from 1 species